rnacentral:rRNA from 1 species
GAUGAACGCUGGCGGCGUGCCUAAUACAUGCAAGUCGAGCGAACGGACGAGAAGCUUGCUUCUCUGAUGUUAGCGGCGGACGGGUGAAUAACACGUGGAUAACCUACCUAUAAGACUGGGAUAACUUCGGGAAACCGGAGCUAAUACCGGAUAAUAUUUUGAACCGCAUGGUUCAAAAGUUAAAGACGGUCUUGCUGUCACUUAUAGAUGGAUCCGCGCUGCAUUAGCUAGUUGGUAAGGUAACGGCUUACCAAGGCAACGAUGCAUAGCCGACCUGAGAGGGUGAUCGGCCACACUGGAACUGAGACACGGUCCAGACUCCUACGGGAGGCAGCAGUAGGGAAUCUUCCGCAAUGGGCGAAAGCCUGACGGAGCAACGCCGCGUGAGUGAUGAAGGUCUUCGGAUCGUAAAACUCUGUUAUUAGGGAAGAACAAAUGUGUAAGUAACUGUGCACAUCUUGACGGUACCUAAUCAGAAAGCCACGGCUAACUACGUG